UUUCGAGGUAGGAGUCGAGUACUGUAAGGUAUGGUGCUGGGUGCAGAUGCAGUGUGGCUCUGGAUAGCACCUUAUGGACAGUUGUGUCCCCAAGGAAGGAUGAGAAUAGCUACUGAAGUCCUAAACAGCAAGCCUAACUCAAGCCAUUGGCACACAGGUGAGAAACCUCUAUUUUGUACUUCUCACUUUUAAGGGAUUAGAAAAUAGCCAAAGCAAUGAUGAUUAUCUAUGUUAGUGCUUCUCUCCCCUCUUUUCAAAUGAGAAUUUUGCUCUCAUAUUGAUACUAAGUUUAAUACUGAAGAAAAUGUGAAAACAGAUACUAUGAUGGUUGCAUAGUUCAGCAGAUUUAAUCAUGAAGAGAUGUACUAUCUGUCUGAUGUAUCUGGGGUGGUUGUGGUUUGCUGUUAAUGGUUAAGCAGUGUACCACCAAUCUACCAUUAAAAUAUUUUUUGCUGACAAUUGUAUUA
rnacentral:sRNA from 1 species